GGCGAAGUCAGCUAAUCAAGCUUUCGGGCCCAUACCCCGAAUAUGAUGGUUAAAAUCCCUCCUCCGCCA
rnacentral:tRNA from 1 species